rnacentral:tmRNA from 1 species
GGGGGUGACUGGCUUCGACUUCGGUUGUCGAGCCAGGGGAAGCGGGCCGAGGGCUGCAGUUGCGACCUCGUAAAUCCUGCGACUGCAAACCAACAAGUGCCAACUCUCAGCGCACUGAGUUCGCCCUCGCCGCCUGAGGCGAGUAGCGACUCUGUCAGCCCGGGGAAGUCUCCGACCCGGGACCUGGCAUCGUUAGGAGACUCCACCUGCCGACCCGGUCGCGGGGCCGGUAGGGAAAACUAACAGCGACUGGGCCCGUCGGUGACUUGCCUGCAUGAGCACCGGGGUCGAGAAAACGACUAGCAGGCUGCGCCCGGAGAAGCCCUGAAUCGGUACCGGAGGACGUGGGUUCGAUUCCCACCACCUCCACUC